UACUCCAUUAUCUGGAUCAGACACUCAUUCUCCUCAGCUGAAGGACGAGGUUCCAUGUCGAUUGUAUUUGGUAGAUCCAACUAGUGGAGAGACUUGUCUAGUGGCAGAUGCAUAUUCUUAUGCUUUUGAUGAGACCACUACAGUUCAUGGGUCUAGAAUGAUGAAUGAUCACCUAAAAGUGAAAAUUCAUCGAAUUAUAGAGAAAUAUGGUCAUUUGCCACUACCUGUUCCCGUCCCUGCAUAUGAGAUCGACACUACAGCUACUGCUUUGGGUACUUGGGUGCAAUGGCCAAAAAAUUUAGCACAAAUGUUAAGUGAUGAGGGAUUUCGGGGGAGGCUGUUAGAUCUUCUAGCCAGUUGCAUUCAUCAGCCGGUUCGGCUUCUCAGUUUAGUCCAGUUAUCGACGAUCGAUCGUUCUUGGACUCCCUUACUGAGGACUGCAGGGAGUUAGCAGAUACGCUUGCCCUUGCCGUCGCAGACGAUGAUGCUGUUGGUGUUACCUUGCCGAGAUCCUUGUUCCAUUAUUUGACAGAUGAUGGCACCGCUUUUCUGACCAAGGAGGAUAUUGGUCAGUUUUUGAGAGGAGAAAUGAUUAAUAUUUCUAUUAUCCAAGUCUACAUGAGGUAACAAUAAUCAAAG